rnacentral:rRNA from 1 species
GUCGAGCGGACAGAUGGGAGCUUGCUCCCUGAUGUUAGCGGCGGACGGGUGAGUAACACGUGGGUAACCUGCCUGUAAGACUGGGAUAACUCCGGGAAACCGGGGCUAAUACCGGAUGGUUGUUUGAACCGCAUGGUUCAGACAUAAAAGGUGGCUUCGGCUACCACUUACAGAUGGACCCGCGGCGCAUUAGCUAGUUGGUGAGGUAACGGCUCACCAAGGCGACGAUGCGUAGCCGACCUGAGAGGGUGAUCGGCCACACUGGGACUGAGACACGGCCCAGACUCCUACGGGAGGCAGCAGUAGGGAAUCUUCCGCAAUGGACGAAAGUCUGACGGAGCAACGCCGCGUGAGUGAUGAAGGUUUUCGGAUCGUAAAGCUCUGUUGUUAGGGAAGAACAAGUGCCGUUCAAAUAGGGCGGCACCUUGACGGUACCUAACCAGAAAGCCACGGCUAACUACGUGCCAGCAGCCGCGGUAAUACGUAGGUGGCAAGCGUUGUCCGGAAUUAUUGGGCGUAAAGGGCUCGCAGGCGGUUUCUUAAGUCUGAUGUGAAAGCCCCCGGCUCAACCGGGGAGGGUCAUUGGAAACUGGGGAACUUGAGUGCAGAAGAGGAGAGUGGAAUUCCACGUGUAGCGGUGAAAUGCGUAGAGAUGUGGAGGAACACCAGUGGCGAAGGCGACUCUCUGGUCUGUAACUGACGCUGAGGAGCGAAAGCGUGGGGAGCGA